AAAUUGAAGAGUUUGAUCAUGGCUCAGAUUGAACGCUGGCGGCAGGCCUAACACAUGCAAGUCGAACGGUAACAGGAAGCAGCUUGCUGCUUUGCUGACGAGUGGCGGACGGGUGAGUAAUGUCUGGGAAACUGCCUGGUGGAGGGGGAUAACUACUGGAAACGGUAGCUAAUACCGCAUAACGUCGCAAGACCAAAGAGGGGGACCUUCGGGCCUCUUGCCAUCGGAUGUGCCCAGAUGGGAUUAGCUAGUAGGUGGGGUAACGGCUCACCUAGGCGACGAUCCCUAGCUGGUCUGAGAGGAUGACCAGCCACACUGGAACUGAGACACGGUCCAGACUCCUACGGGAGGCAGCAGUGGGGAAUAUUGCACAAUGGGCGCAAGCCUGAUGCAGCCAUGCCGCGUGUAUGAAGAAGGCCUUCGGGUUGUAAAGUACUUUCAGCGGGGAGGAAGGGAGUAAAGUUAAUA
rnacentral:rRNA from 1 species